rnacentral:misc_RNA from 1 species
UAUCAACGUGCAUGAGUAGCAUUGGAUACGUGUCUGCCGGUAGAUCCCCCGUUGUACUUCGGCCGACUACCGGCGCCGUGUCCCGUCACUCUUGUGGCAUUGUCCCGAUGGAUUGAACUUGUGGCUUGCGUGCUAGUACCCGACCUACGGGAAGUGGUGCUUCGGAUAAUUGUUGCCUCACGGUGGACGCCCUUUGGGUGUGCCACUGUGACCGAAUAGCGCUUGYGGCGUUGCCUCGUACAACAGCCAUAUAAUGUGCAUGUUGAUAUCACRGCAACCUCGCUCUCGCUUUUGGUCUAGGAUGCUGCUAACRAUAAAGGCUCGAGGCCCUUCGGGUUGCCUYGAUCCRAAACAAUGUUCUCUCUCCGAAAUGGCGAUAACCRUGUUCAUGUCUUGCCUCUACCUCUCCACAGUUAUGUGGUAGGAUACGCAACCCUAUGGAUCCGGCCCUCAUGGAGGAGGAGACAUGCUUUCUCUAAAGUGGGGACAACCRUGCUCAUGUCUUGCCUCUACCUAGCCACAAURAGUGGUAGGAUACGCAACCUAUGGGCCGAUCCACAUGUAGGACAAGGCAUGCUCUGUCUGAAAUGGCGAUUACCGUGUUCAUGUCUUGCUCGAUCUCUCCACAGUUAAUUUCUGUGGUAGGAUAAGCAACCCUAUGGAUACGGCCCUCAUGGAUGAUGAGACAUUCNCAAUGCUCUCUCCGAAAUGGC